UUUCGCAUGUAGGGGUAAAAUCCGUAGAGAUGCGAAGGAACACCAGAGGCGAAGGCGCCUUCCUGGAUGAGUAUUGACGCUGAGGCGCGAAAGCGUGGGGAGCAAACAGGAUUAGAUACCCUGGUAGUCCACGCCGUAAACGAUGUGCACUAGAUUUUGUGGGUAUUGACCCCUGCAGAGUCGUAGCUAACGCAUUAAGUGCACCGCCUGGGGAGUACGGUCGCAAGACUAAAACUCAAAGGAAUUGACGGGGGCCCGCACAAGCGGUGGAUUAUGUGGUUUAAUUCGAAGCAACGCGCAGAACCUUACCUAGGCUUGAAAUCCUACGAAUCUGAUGGAAACAUCGGAGUGCUCUUCGGAGAAUGUAGUGACAGGCGCUGCAUGGCUGCCGUCAGCUCGUGUCGUGAGAUGUUGGGUUAAGUCUCGCAACGAGCGCAACCCCUAUCCUUAGUUGCCAGCAUUAAGUUGGGCACUCUAGGGAGACUGCCUGGGCUAACCAGGAGGAAGGUGGGGAUGACGUCAAGUCCUCAUGGCCCUUAUGUCUAGGGCUACACACGUAAUACAAUGGUAGGCACAGAGGGAAGCGACCCGGCGACGGUGAGCAAAUCUCAAAAAACCUAUCUCAGUCCGGAUUGGAGUCUGCAACUCGACUCCAUGAAGUUGGAAUCGCUAGUAAUCGUGGAUCAGCACGCCACGGUGAAUACGUUCCCGGGCCUUGUACACACCGCCCGUCACACCAUGGGAGUUGGUCUUACCUGAAGCCGUGGC
rnacentral:rRNA from 1 species